rnacentral:rRNA from 1 species
GACGAACGCUGGCGGCGUGCUUAACACAUGCAAGUCGAACGGAAAGGCCCUGCUUUUGUGGGGUGCUCGAGUGGCGAACGGGUGAGUAACACGUGAGUAACCUGCCCUUGACUUUGGGAUAACUUCAGGAAACUGGGGCUAAUACCGGAUAGGAGCUCCUGCUGCAUGGUGGGGGUUGGAAAGUUUCGGCGGUUGGGGAUGGACUCGCGGCUUAUCAGCUUGUUGGUGGGGUAGUGGCUUACCAAGCCUUUGACGGGUAGCCGGCCUGAGAGGGUGACCGGCCACAGUGGGACUGAGAUAGGGCCCAGAGUCCAACGGGAGGCAGCAGUGGAGAAUAUUGCACAAUGGGCGGAAGCCUGAUGCAGCAACGCCGCGUGCGGGAUGACGGCCUUCGGGUUGUAAACCGCUUUCGCCUGUGACGAAGCGUGAGUGACGGUAAUGGGUAAAGAAGCACCGGCUAACUACGUG